rnacentral:sRNA from 24 species
GUCAGGGUUCUCUAGUUGAGAAGCAAUCCCAUGCCUUUAGGCAUGGAGUUGUGGAUUGACGCUACCUGACCCGCCUAAGUCCUUAACUGGACUACGUUUAAGAGGAGUGUUAAAGUCUCACCUACGAAUGCUUGCCAGUUUGUAGCUCUGAA